rnacentral:rRNA from 1 species
GACGAACGCUGGCGGCGUGCUUAACACAUGCAAGUCGAACGGAAAGGCCCUGCUUUUGUGGGGUGCUCGAGUGGCGAACGGGUGAGUAACACGUGAGUAACCUGCCCUUGACUUUGGGAUAACUUCAGGAAACUGGGGCUAAUACCGGAUAGGAGCUCCUGCUGCAUGGUGGGGGUUGGAAAGUUUCGGCGGUUGGGGAUGGGCUCGCGGCUUAUCAGCUUGUUGGUGGGGUAGUGGCUUACCAAGGCUUUGACGGGUAGCCGGCCUGAGAGGGUGACCGGCCACAUUGGGACUGAGAUACGGCCCAGACUCCUACGGGAGGCAGCAGUGGGGAAUAUUGCAUAAUGGGCGGAAGCCUGAUGCAGCAACGCCGCGUGCGUGAUGACGGCCUUCGGGUUGUAAACCGCUUUCGCCUGUGACGAAGCGUGAGUGACGGUAAUGGGUAAAGAAGCACCGGCUAACUACGUG